rnacentral:rRNA from 1 species
UACGUAGGCGGCCGAAUAAGUUGUAUGUGAAAUCCCGGGGCUCAACCCCGGACGUGCAUACAAAACUAUUUGGCUUGAGUAUGGUAGAGGUAAGUGGAAUUCCUAGUGUAGCGGUGGAAUGCGUAGAUAUUAGGAGGAACACCAGUGGCGAAGGCGACUUACUGGGCCAUAACUGACGCUGAGGCGCGAAAGUGUGGGGAGCAAACAGGAUUAGAUACCCUGGUAGUCC